rnacentral:misc_RNA from 1 species
UUUUUGCACUAGAAGUUGAUCUGGCAUGUGAUAGAAAGAUAAUGUUAUGUCGACAUUCAACAUUGGGGGGGAAUUGAAGAAAAUUGAGCCUACGGAACACUGUACCCGAUACCAAUGAGCUAACACCAACAUUUAAUUUGCUUUGUUAUGGAAAACAUACAAUAUUUCCUACAGAGCCCAGUGAGACUCAACCCGACACCAAAAAUGCUCAAAGACAGGAAGAACUUUAAUGUACAGCUUUGUUUACAUAAGAGUUGUGCAAUGCUGGCUACUGUUAUCGCUUUCACUGAUUGUUUUCUUCCACACUUUGCACACCUGCUUUGCAAUUUUAGGUGAGAGAUGUUUUAAGAUGUUCACAAGUUCACCGGAGGACUUCCCUUAAACAAAAGAUCAUAAGCAAUAUGUUCCCAGGGCAAUGAUACAGACAUCAAGCAGCAUUUAAGGGGCAACAUCUCAUCAUGAGAACUUGUGGAGGCAGCAGCAGCUGCAUAGGCAUGCUUUGCUGCCACAGAUGCAACAGAUGCAGCUUUUUGAACAAUUGAGCCAAUUCCAAAUCCUCUCUUCGAUGUAACUGGCGAAAAAGGGCCAAAAUCCUGCUGACUUUGAUCUGACACAGUAAACCCUAGAUUUAGCCCAUUUAUUACAGAUUUGUACACAACCAUUCACUUCAUUGAGUUAAUUUACUAAAAAGAGGAUGUGCCCAGUGCAUGAGCCCCCCUCUCUGCAAGGGUUGGGGGAGGAUUUUCUAUCAUAAGCAGUCUUUUUCCAACUCUUUCAUGAGGCUGUUUCUACAACUUGAACCAUUAUUUAGGAGUGAUCUACUAAAGAAAAUAAAAGCCCUUUCACAGAAUGGGUUUGCUUCUCUGAAGAAAGCAAAGCAUUAUAAUUUUAUUCCAAAUUGAUAGCAAUAUAUUUUAUCUGUUCUGUUAACAUGAAUAUAAACCUGACAAAACUCCUGGAUUGUUAUCUUUAUCUUCUGGACCAUCCGAUGCUAUCAUCAAAAGUGUUUGUUAACACACUGAUCAACAAGGAAUUUUUCUGAUCAGUGCAUGUGAACAAAUAUAUAUUAACAUUAACAUCAGAGCCCCGCCAUCAGUGCACUAGAAGAAAAGGGAAAGAAAAAUUAAUAAGAGAAUUUUGCUUUACCUGCAACCCCAGAAACAGCAACUUCAACCUCCCCUCGUCCACCUGGGCCCUUCAUGUACAGUUUAUCUGUUUUGCCAGUGGAAUGACUGAGUGAAAGGAGACUACCAAAUUGAGACUUCCCAGCGUCAUAUGCUUCUCGAACCAUUUGAUAGCUUACGAACCCAGAGAAAAGAGUGAGCUUAGAAUUCUUCAUCUUCCCAGAAUUAGUAUCAACUUCUAGAGGGGAAUUAGUACUGGAAGUGUUAUCAGGUGACUCAUUUUCACUAGGAAAUGCCGCACCAUCAUGUGCAUUGAGAAGUACACAAUAGCAAUGAUCUGUUUCUGUCAAGACCACUGCAUCAAAAGUUGAGUCAAAAUCAUCCACUGCAAAACAGAUGUCUGGAUAGGCAGGAGUUGUCUCCACUUCCUUUUUUGAGUCCAAAUGAAAAUCUACACGACUUGGUGAUGCAUAAACAGUCUUUACUACCUUGUAUAUAGGAGAUAAUGGUGUAUCUUGCCCAGUUUGAUGAUUGCGAAGGACGUGAUGACUGCAAAUUGCUACUGUUACUGUGAACGAAGUGUGUGCAAUUAAAUUCAAGUAAAAUGAGCGCCUCCAAUCUACCUCUGAAUUUUCACUGACCAAAUUAUCCAACUUAGCUGCCCACCUGCGCACAAAGUAAGGAGGGAGGCCCUGCACAUUAUCAUUGAAACCAUAUCCUUCUGUGCCCAUUUUUCUGACGAAAAAUACGAGAUCAUCAUCCUGCCGUCCUCUUGACUCCUUACCACGGAUAAAGUACAAAUCUAACAUAUCAUACCAAAAUCGGCCAUCCAUUUCAACAUCUGAAGCAUCUCGAUCGUCGAGGGUACCUUUUCCUAUGAGGGUGGAGUGCUUCUUCACCAUACUCAACAAUUCAUGCCUGGAAGGGGUAUUUUCUCCAUCCCCCAGCAUUUCGGUUUGUCAAAUUUGAAGGAGAAAACACUCAAUAAAUGCUUCUGAAAAUCUGAUAGCAGUUCGCAGUUAAUGUGAUGAUAACUGAUAACCUAAGGAAUUUAAGUUUUUUAAUAUAUACAAAAAAAAAAACGUUUCGACGGAGAAAAAAAAACUGGCGCGAGCACUGGCUGAACGAUUCUUUGCUUCGGAUCUGUGACACAUAUCAG